rnacentral:ncRNA from 12 species
UAUUUUUGAGGUCAGAAAAGGUUCCUGACGCACUUUGAAAAGAGUACCUGAGAUGAUGGAUACACCGCCCAUCCAAAAAUA